UCUUUGAUCGGACGUGUUUGAUAGCCACUUACUGUAAUAAAAGAACUCGAUAUUGAGGGCCAGUACUAACGAAACGCUUACCUUGUAAUCUUGUAGUGGCUUAAUCAGGGUCUAUGUGUGUGUCAACAAUGGACACUGCCAAUAUCGCAAUGUUGGUUUGUUUUGAUAGUUCGACACAUCAGAAGAAGUUCGAAUACCGCAAUUCAAAGGAGAGCACAGUUGCAGGAACUCUAGAACCUAAUUGCAGAAAAGAAUUAAAGUAAUUAAACAGAAAAGAAGAUAAACAUAAUGCACAUGGAAUUUAUUCGUUCACUUCAGCAUCCCAAAGCGCAUUUCAUUUUAUUUCCUAAAGUAACCGUACAUGGCCAAAGGUCCAUAAAUAACGCUGAAACAGCGACAAAGCAAAACCGCGUUGUAAAUAUCCCGAGUCUAUUCGCUUGAAAAAAUAAAAAGCUCCAGAAAGAAUUACAAGAAGCUAAAAAUGUGUCUCACACGUUAUCUGGUAACCACGAUUGGACAAAAUUAGUGGGCACUCGAGCAAAAGCUUAGCUGGCGAAAUUUCUUCCUACUACACAAACGACCAAUUUAUUUCUCGAGCUCCUUAACUGAAAAACGAGGAAAAACCCUCUUAAUUUCAACAGUAUAAGAGCUCACAUUGCCUCCCGUUUAGAACAUUAAAUUGGCAACUCCGUAUACCGGACGGCGACGGAAUUUCAACAAGUUGGUCCAUAGAAUAUUGCAAAUUUAAGCCCGCCGCUGAGACUCUCGUAUGCCUAUAGAUAUAAGGUUUAUUUUAGCUUGCUGGGGUAUAGACAUUAUUUGCCGUAUUUAAGGCUGUGCCGCUUGCAGCGCAGACAUUCUUGACGAAUGUUGCCAAAAACCUGGAAGGUUUUCACCUCGUUUUCGACUUCCGUUAUUGUUUCCCCGGUGUCAAGAUUGUAGUUAUAAAUUAAGGUACUAUUAAGAUGCUUGUAUGCCGCUAA